AUUGAACGCUGGCGGCAUGCCUUACACAUGCAAGUCGAACGGCAGCGCGGGGGGUAACCCCUGGCGGCGAGUGGCGAACGGGUGAGUAAUACAUCGGAACGUAUCCUGUAGCGGGGGAUAACCUCUCGAAAGAGAGGCUAAUACCGCAUACGACCUACGGGUGAAAGAGGGGGAUCGCAAGACCUCUCACUAUUGGAGCGGCCGAUGUCGGAUUAGCUAGUUGGUGAGGUAAUAGCUCACCAAGGCGACGAUCCGUAGCUAGUCUGAGAGGACGACCAGCCACACUGGAACGGAGACACGGUCCAGACUCCUACGGGAGGCAGCAGUGGGGAAUUUUGGACAAUGGGCGCAAGCCUGAUCCAGCCAUGCCGCGUGGGUGAAGAAGGCCUUCGGGUUGUAAAGCCCUUUCGGCUGGGACGAAAAGGUUCGUGUUAACACCACGGACCCAUGACGGUACCAGCAGAAGAAGCACCGGCUAACUACGUGCCAGCAGCCGCCGUAAUAC
rnacentral:rRNA from 1 species